rnacentral:misc_RNA from 1 species
GAAAAUAGUGGAAAGUCCGUUCUCAAAAGAGGAAGCAUAGGCAAUUAUUAAAUCCGCCUGGAGCAUUGCUCCUCCAUUCGCAUAAAUGUGUAAUUGACAUGAUUACCAGAAUUCACAUAGGGCAUCACUUUCAAAAACCAACCACAAUUAUUAAAGAAACAACAUUUACGCGCCUAUGCACCGUUACUCUUCUAUAGUUGUAUAUAAAAAUUUGAAUCCAUUGCAUUUCUAAGCAACCAAAC